GACGAACGCUGGCGGCGUGCCUAACACAUGCAAGUGGAGCGACGAACCGGGCUUCGGCCCGGGGCCAAGCCGCGAACGGGUGAGUAACACGUGGGUAACCUGCCCUGAUGAUUGGGACAACCCGAGGAAACUCGGGCUAAUACCGAAUGUGCCCUCCGACCAUAAGGUCUGCGGGGAAAGGAAGCUUCGGCCUCCGCAUCGGGAUGGGCCCGCGGCGCAUUAGCUUGUUGGUGAGGUAACGGCUCACCAAGGCGACGAUGCGUAGCUGGUCUGAGAGGACGAUCAGCCACACUGGGACUGAGACACGGCCCAGACUCCUACGGGAGGCAGCAGUGGGGAAUCUUGCGCAAUGCGCGAAAGCGUGACGCAGCAACGCCGCGUGGGGGAAGACGGCCUCGG
rnacentral:rRNA from 1 species